rnacentral:lncRNA from 1 species
CGUGCUUUCCCUUUUAUCUUCUUCUUCUUCUCCAAAAAACUUAAAAUCCUUAAAUACUUCUCAAUUCCCACUGCCUCACCCUCCAUCGCCUCCCUCUUCCAUGCCGGCGGGCGAGUUCCUUCACGCAGUCGCCCUUGCAAUGCCUGCGCCGCCCCUGCAGUUGCUCACUCCGCCACUCGCACUGGUGACGAUGAUCAUGAUGUCCCC